GCUGGGUGUGGUGGCACGUGCCUGUAAUCCUAGCUACUUGGGAAGCUGAGGCAGGGGAAUUGCUUGAACCCAGGAGGUGGAGAUUGCAGUGAGCUGAGAUCACGCUGCUGCACUCCAGCCUGGGCUACACAGCAAGACUCUGUCUCCA
rnacentral:SRP_RNA from 1 species